CCUACGGGAGGCUGCAGUGAGGAAUAUUGGUCAAUGGCCGGAAGUCUGAACCAGCCAAGUCGCGUGAGGGACGACUGCCCUAUGGGUUGUAAACCUCUUUUAUAAGGGAAUAAUCCCUGCUACGUGUAUCUUUCUGCCUGUACCUUACGAAUAAGCAUCGGCUAACUCCGUGCCAGCAGCCGCGGUAAUACGGAGGAUUCGAGCGUUAUCCGGUUUUAUUGGGUUUAAAGGGUGCGUAGGCGGUUUUUUAAGUUAGUGGUUAAACGUCGGGGCUUCACUUGGAUUUGCCAUUAAUACUGUAAGACUAGAGAGCAGACGAGGUAGGCGGAAUAAGUUAAGUAGCGGUGAAAUGCUUAGAUAUAACUCAGAACACCGAUAGCGAAGGCAGCUUACCAGACUGCGACUGACGCUGAAGCACGAGAGCGUGGGGAGCGAACAGGAUUAGAUACCCGGGUAGUC
rnacentral:rRNA from 1 species